ensembl:lncRNA
AGACAAACUGGCUCCCCUCUUGGAGGGAUGGAUGGUCAAAGACUUGCAUUCUGUUCCAGAAAGAGAGGGAACUCGUCCCUAGAAUGGAUUACAUCACUUCUUCUAGUAGAGCAAAGAAGAAAGCCGUGUUUCUGUGUCACAACUCACUGACCAUUCAUUCCCUGGUUCCCAGGGUACUGUGUGUCUUUGGCAACUGACUAAUCAGCCUUGCUUUGUGGCACUGAAACAUCAAAUGCUUGAAGGAUAUCUAACCACAAGAUCCGGGCAUGCAGUGUCAGUCCUGGAGAGCCUGGAGAACGAUCACUGAGCUGGGCCUGGCAGAGAGGGUCGGAAGCAGGUGAGGUGAAGUGCUUCUCAGACUGCGUGGCUCUGUGGAUCCCCAGGAGCCACAUGGAGGGUUUGAGGCAUUGACUGAGCAGAAUCCUGCACUUGCCAGGGGCCUGGAGGAACCCCACCCACCUGGAUCCUUUGCCAAAUGGGCAGCUUCCCGCAUCCUGAUCCCAAUGCUGGUCGCUUCUCCCUCUGCACUGGGCCUGUAAUUCUGGAAGCUGCCGCCAGGGGGACGGUGUUGUCAGUAUUACCCGACACUGGGGCGAGUUGCUUAGAAAAGCAGGACCUGCUCCAGCCCAGGCUCCUGCUUUGUCUCCGAUGACCUGCCUUUGAAGCCUGGAAGUCCAGCAUUCUUCACCAAACGAAGUGUGGGAGCCUGCGGUGGCCCCACAUCGCGGAACACAGAUGCAGAGAGACCCUGUGGCUGCUGUCCCUUCGAGGGGAGCUGGUGGCUUCUCUGCAAGAUGCCAGCCUGAUGGGACUGCAUGUGGACAUCAACACCGUCACUAUCACCAUCCCAAAUCCAAGGUUCGGGAAGGGAGUUGCCUGUCUCAGUGGCUAUGCCGAGGACCAUUCCAUCCCACCAUCCCCAGGACCAGAGACCCCUCCAGCAGGACGCCAUCUGCUGCCUCUUCCCAGUUCCAGGCUGCAGGAUCAGCUGCCUCGGGAGCCUCCGGGAAGGGCUUUCUCAGAGCUGCGCUCGCCAGCCUUUCGAUGGGCUGGCCAAUGCAAGUCCGCCUGUGGUUUCCUCUGAAGGGCCCAUCCCAAGAGGCCUUGGAGGACCCUCUUACCCCCAUUCUUCCAGAGGGAACCCCGCUCUGACCUCUGGCCAUGUCUCCUCCUCCUCCAAUUCAGAACACUCCCCAGAGAAAGCUGGGGCCCCCCAGAGCUCCUAUCUGAGGGCAGCCCCCCUGCCAGCUGUCCUGCAUGGCUCACAGCCUCCCAGGGCCUUGAGACUCAGCAAAAGGAGGCAGCAGGGAGAGUCAGUGGCUGUGCACACAAACAGAGAGUAGGAAACUGAGGCAUGCCUCAAAGGACUUGUGUCUGGAGCCUGGGGGCCAGCCUGGAGAACCAGCUGGAGGUCACAGCUCCCACAGGCCCUCCUCUGGGCUGCCAUCCUCAGGGCAGCUGAAACCCACAUCCUCCUAUUUCUGAUGCUUUUUCUCUCUCCACUCCUCUCUCCCUGAAGACGGAGUUUGGGCCAUUCCUGCAAACAGCCAAACCUCUGGAAGAAGCAGGGAAGCUACCAUCUCCCUUUUCCCAGAGCAAUGCAGGAUCAGCGUGGUCCCCAGGUUCCCCCGGGGGAAGCGGGGUUAUCUAGACACCUCUCCUUCAGCUGCACUGUCCUCAGAGUCCUAGGAGUUGUCGAGGCUAGCCCUGGGUUCCCGCCAGUCAUCCCUGCCCCCAUGGUCCUCACUGUGCAUUUGUCCUCAGAUGUCUCCUCUCCUCCACCUCCUCUCUGGGGUCUGAACAGUCCACAGCACUCCUGGUCUCAGGGUCCUCUGUCACCCUAACUGACUGUUUAGGAACUAUAAGGCCCGAGCAGGACCCCGCUCAGCCACCAGGAAGUCCCCUCCAGCUGGGAGGGCUGUCAGUGGGCUGUGACUGCAACCGAGUCCACGCAGGGGGCCAGGCCAGGCCGGCAAGGAGGUCCUGCCUUUGACAAGGCCCUCGCUGACCACUCUGGCUGAAGAGGCAUUGGGUUCCCACUGUCCCCUAAAGAGCCCCAGGAAACACUCUUCACAAUGGGGGCUGCGGGGCCACCCCAGAGGGGUCCUGGCCUUCCUGGGAAGGGGGCCGCAGGGGCCCUGGACCCAUCAUCCCCAGAAACAACUCAGGACAUGGAGGGGCCAGGACUUGCUCUCCUGCUGGGGAAGCUUGUCGUAGUCACUGCCCCAUGGCAAAUACCUCCAAGGGGUGGUGGCAGCAGCCAGACCCGUACCUGUCUGAGGGCCUUGGGACUCGAGCCCGUGGGGAGAAACAGAGUGGGACCAGCACUUCCUCUGCCAGCUCUUACUGCUGAGCAGCUGCUGGCAGAAGGCAGUUGCCUGACAGCCCUUCUGGAGAGCCCUCUGGCCUCCACCUCCAGGAAGCCUGCAGCCUGACCUGUGGGAGGGUCAGCUAGAGUCCGAGGCCCAGAGUCAGCCCCAAGCUGACCAUGGGAACAGGAUGAGUGGGGGGCUGCCUAUGCAUCCAGCAAAUGCUGACCCCAUGGGCUCCUGUGGACAUUUCCUCGCCUGGCCUGGCCAGGGGACAUCCCCACAGGAGCAGCUGACAGAGUCCACGUUAGCCACCACCCCUGAAAGUCCCCGGCCUCCUGAGCUUCAGAAUGUCUGGAGGGGCUUCUGAGAGAACGCCUCGCCAGGCAGCUGGUACCCUGCUGGCCUGGACUGCUCCAGUGACCCCUGUUGUCCCUGGGGGGACAUCAGCGCUCCUAGGCACCCUGGCCCAGAAGCCCAGCCAUGGUCUGAGCCAGAGCAGCACCUGGUGCUUCCCUGGAAGGAUGGCACCCCCGCCCCUCCGGGCCAGCCCAUCACUGGAAGUGGGAUUUGAAACACAGCCAAGGAGAGGAGGCCGUCGGCAACGCCCGGAAUGCGAAAC